rnacentral:rRNA from 1 species
AGAAUCAACGCUGGCGGCGUGCCUAACACAUGCAAGUCGAACGCGAAAGGGGAGCAAUCCCUGAUUAGAGUGGCAAACGGGUGAGUAACACGUGGGUGACCUGCCUUCGAGUGGGGGAUAACCUUCCGAAAGGAGGGCUAAUACCGCAUGACAUACCGUGUUUGGAUACAUGGAUAUCAAAGCCGGGGAUCGCAAGACCUGGCGCUUGAAGAGGGGCCCGCGUCCGAUUAGCUAGUUGGUGAGGUAACGGCUCACCAAGGCUCCGAUCGGUA